rnacentral:rRNA from 1 species
AUUGAACGCUGGCGGCAGGCCUAACACAUGCAAGUCGAACGAGUGGCGGACGGGUAAGUAAUGUCUGGGAAACUGCCUGAUGGGGGGGGAUAACUACUGGAAACGGUAGCUAAUACCGCAUACCAUCAGAUGUGCCCAGAUGGGAUUAGCUAGUAGGUGUGGUACCGUCUCACCUAGGCGACGAUCCCUAUCUGGGCGGAGAGGAUGACCAGCAACACUGGCACGGCGACACGGUCCAGACUCCUCCGGUAGGCAGCAGUGGGGAAUAUUGCACAAUGGGCGCAAGCCUGAUGCAGCCAUGCCGCUUGUGUGAAGAAGGCCUUCGGGUUGUAAAGCACGUUCAGCGGGGAGGCGUUACCCGCAGAAGAAGCACCGGCUAACUCCGUGCCAGCAGCCGCGGUAAUUC